CCUCCUUAUGUCCCAUAUCUUCCUGUUUGUCCCAGUCUGCUAGAGGAUCCCACCUCGUGGCUGACAGCUCCUUGUUGCAUUUUAAGGUGGGUAAUAACCCUAAUGCCAGUGCCUGCUACGGUGUGAAAGUUCUGGCUAGCGUUACCCUUGGCUUCGGAUACCGUGAAAUCAUUUUAAUCGAGAAGAACUAAGGCGGAGAAGGAAGAGGUGACGUGAGCAGGACAUCGCACUCCUCUGGCCAUCGGUCCCCUGCCAUGAUGGACUCUUUAACUCUGAACAUAAAACCCUUCAGUUGCUUGUCCCAGUGUAUUGUAUCACAGCCACAGUAAAGUAACUAAAUACCUU